rnacentral:rRNA from 1 species
AUAUUAUUAAGCGGAGGAAAAGAAACUAACAAGGAUUCCCCUAGUAACGGCGAGUGAAGCGGGAAGAGCUCAAAGUUAAAAUCGGGGCACCUAGCGGUGAUCUCGAAUUGUAAUCUGUAGACGCGUUUUCAGUCUCGACCUGGGUAUAAAUCUUUUGAAACAAGGUAUCAGAGAGGGUGAGAAUCCCGUCUUUGACUUGGAGUUCGGGACGUACGAAUCGCGCCCAAAGAGUCGAAUAGCUUGGGAAUGCUGUUCUAAACGGGUGGUAAAUUUCAUCUAAAGCUAAAUACCGACGAGAGACCGAUAGCGCACAAGUA